rfam:Arabis alpina cultivar Pajares chromosome 6, whole genome shotgun sequence.
AACCCGUGGUGAGGACAAUCUCUCUGAUAACUCUUGAAGCGUUCCCAUGAAGCCUUGAAUUCUUCGGUUGGACCUUGACCAAAAGAUGAGAUCUUGGCUCUGAAAUC